rnacentral:rRNA from 1 species
UAAUACCGGAUAGAUCAAAGAUACUGGAAUGUUCUCUGGUCUAAAACUCUGGUGCCCAAGGAUGGGUCUGCGGCCUAUCAGGUAGUAGUGGGUGUAACGUACCUACUAGCCUACGACGGGUAAGGGUUGUGAGAGCAAGAGCCCUGAGAUGGAUUCUGAGACAUGAAUCCAGGCCCUACGGGGUGCAGCAGGCGCGAAAACUUUACACUGCGGGAAACCGCGAUAAGGGGACCCCGAGUGCCAGCACCUAGUGCUGGCUGUCCAGCUGUCCAAAUAACAGUUGUUAGCAAGGGCCGGGCAAGACCGGUGCCAGCCGCCGCGGUAACACCGGCGGCCCGAGUGGUAGCCGUUAUUAUUGGGUUUAAAGGGUCCGUAGCCGGCCUAUUAAGUCUCUUGGGAAAUCUGGCGACUUAAUCGUCAGGCGUUC